rnacentral:rRNA from 1 species
GACGAACGCUGGCGGCGUGCUUAACACAUGCAAGUCGAACGGAAAGGCCCUGCUUUUGUGGGGUGCUCGAGUGGCGAACGGGUGAGUAACACGUGAGUAACCUGCCCUUGACUUUGGUAUAACUUCAGGAAACUGGGGCUAAUACCGGAUAGGAGCUCCUGCUGCAUGGUGGGGGUUGGAAAGUUUCGGCGGUUGGGGAUGGACUCGCGGCUUAUCAGCUUGUUGGUGGGGUAGUGGCUUACCAAGGCUUUGACGGGUAGCCGGCCUGAGAGGGUGACCGGCCACAUUGGGACUGAGAGACGGCCCAGACUCCUACGGGAGGCAGCAGUGGGGAAUAUUGCACAAUGGGCGGAAGCCUGAUGCAGCAACGCCGCGUGCGGGAUGACGGCCUUCGGGUUGUAAACCGCUUUCGCCUGUGACGAAGCGUGAGUGACGGUAAUGGGUAAAGAAGCACCGGCUAACUACGUG